UACGGAGGAUGCGAGCGUUAUCCGGAUUUAUUGGGUUUAAAGGGUGCGUAGGCGGUCCGUUAAGUCAGCGGUAAAAUUGCGGGGCUCAACCCCGUCGAGCCGUUGAAACUGUCAGACUUGAGUUGGCGAGAAGUACGCGGAAUGCGCGGUGUAGCGGUGAAAUGCAUAGAUAUCGCGCAGAACUCCGAUUGCGAAGGCAGCGUACCGGCGCCACACUGACGCUGAGGCACAAAAGCGUGGGGAUCGAACAGG
rnacentral:rRNA from 1 species